rnacentral:lncRNA from 1 species
AUCAUAUCAAUCUCAAUCUGAAUCGAACUGAAUCUAAUUCAAUUAGACUUGUUCCAAAGCUCUUUACUCAAUCAAAUUGAGUUAAUUAGUAAUAUAAUUACGAGUUAAUUCUUCAUAAAUGAUAGAGUUUCAGUUCCAAUGGGACUCUGCCACAGAGUCCUGAUCCAAGUAUAACUCAUCACCAGAGUCACAAUCUAAUUGGACUCUUCAGCCAUUAGAUGUGAUCAAAUCUUCUAAUGUGUGUGACCCCAUAGGUUCGAAUCUAAGCCAGUAGUAUAGAAACAACUUCUUAUACCAAUUGAUGUAACCAUCUAGUAAUGAUGACCCGACGAUCGGAUAGGUCAAAAUGUUGCAAGACAACCUUCUAGAACCUACUGGCGUAUGGUUAUCGUAUAAUUCAUCUCUUUGACUCAAAUGCUCAAGGUGAUGUAGGGUUUAACCGUCAACCCUAAUUAAGUCAACCAUAUUAUAUUUCAACCUUUCAAAUCCAUCUUAUGAAUUAUCUCGAUCAAGAUUUUGCUAAAUUGAAAUACGCUGAUGCAUAUCUCCUACCAAUUCAGAGGGGUCAAUUCCAUCUUGACUCACACACUAACUUGAUAAGUACUAGACUGCAUCCAGUAUCCUUCCGUCACUAAGUUAAAAACUCAGAUGGUCCGGUACUAAAGUAUAAUGAGUUGCUUACAAGUCACCAUGGUGGUCUCA